rnacentral:rRNA from 1 species
UACGGGGGGGGCAAGCGUUGUUCGGAAUCACUGGGCGUAAAGCGUACGCAGGCGGACCGUUAAGUCGGGUGUGAAAGCCCGGGGCUCAACCCCGGAACUGCAUUCGAUACUGGCGGUCUUGAAUACGGGAGAGGUGAGUGGAAUUCCUGGUGUAGAGGUGAAAUUCGUAGAUAUCAGGAGGAACACCGGUGGCGAAAGCGGCUCACUGGCCCGAUAUUGACGCUCAUGUACGAAAGCGUGGGGAGCAAACAGG